GAGAAGGAGGGUGUGUGCCUGGAGGACUCCACCGCCCACUGGUACAUCCAGUGCUUCCUGGAUGGGGUGCCGUUCCCCCUGGCUCUGAGAAUAUGGGAUAUAUACAUCCUGGAGGGCGAGCACGUGCUCCCGGCCAUGGCAUACACGGCCCUCAAGAUCCAUAACAGCCCCCACAGACCACAAGGAGAAGUGGCCAGGGUCAUCGCACUGGAAAUUGGCCCCUGAGCAGUCCCUCUAGUGCUUGGUGUGACACCCAAGGGUGUCCAAGGGUGUCUGCAGCCCAUGUCUGGUGCUGGGACAGGGCUUGGAGCAGCCAUGGUGGCUGCGCCAUCCCUAGGGCCCCUCCCAGCCUGACACCCACCCCCAUGUCUAGAGCGCCUGCUGAAGAUGCCCCGGGACCACCUCCGGGAGUUCCUGCAGGUGACCCUGAAGCAGGCCUGGUCUCUGAGCGAGGACGCGGUCAUCAGGCAGCUGCGGGCCUCCAUGCGUGAGCUGGGGAAGCUCCAGUGCCUCCUGCCUCCCGAAGGUGAGUCCAGCACACGGCCCCGUCCCAUGCUCCCUUGGGGGAGUCAGUAGUGGGAGUGCCAGGCCCUGACAUCCCCGCCCAGGGCCUCACCUCUUCCUGGUCCUCCUUGUCCUCCCCGGGCUCAGCAGUUCUGCUUUCUGAAGCUCUGUCAGCAUGGCCUGACAGGGCCUCGGGCAGCUUCCCAGAAUCCUCCUGUGGGUGCCGGCUCUCCCCCCACCACUCUGGGGCUGGGCCGUGGAGCUGUCCUCAGGACAUUUGUGGCUCUGGCUCCUCGGCUGACCCCCACUCUGGAGUGGAUUGGAGGCCCCGCCUUGAGCUACCCUGCCCAGGUCUGGAGCAGGUGCCCUGGCUCAGUGCCCCCAGGAGCCUGGAGCACAGCUGGACCCCCACUCCAGCAAGAUGAGAAGUGGCCCUGCCUGCCCAGGGGGCCCCUCCCCAACUGACCCCACACAGGCUCCUGGCCCGAUGACCACAGCUGUCUGCACACAGGACCCUCCUAGGACAGCCAAGGCUAUAAAAUGGUGCAGCAGGCCCCUGGGGCAGGCACGCGUCCCCCAGAUGCACGUUCCUGCCCCCACUGCUCCGAAGGCCAAAAUCACCAUUCAGGACACAGUGGCAGUGUGGGAGCAGACCAGGGGUCCCGCUACCCGUGCAGUGAUGAUCGUCCUCCAGAAAGCUUUGGCCUCUGCAUCGCCGAGAGGGAAGGCCUGGAGGAGGAGGAGAGCUGGGAAGGCAGCCCAGAGCCCCUCGGCCUGGGCUUCCCUGUGGGGACCACAGUCUCCAGGUUCUGCCAGCCCCACGGAGUCUCCAGAGUACUCGAGGUGGGGAGGCCUGUGCCAGUGCGCCAGUCUCCCUAACCUGAGCGGGCCAGAGCACAGGGAGGACGACUUCUCCGACGCUGGCAGCCAGGAGGGCCUGUGGAUGUGGGCUCCUCCACGGGCCUCGGAGCCCCCGGAACCAGGGCCCAUGCAGGCUGUCCCCGCCUGGGGGCCACGGCUGAAGACUUCCCCCUACUGGCAUGGCAGCCCCACGCACUCUGGGGACAGUCACGGGCUGGAGCCGGCCAGAGCCAGCCCUGGGCUGGGAGACCAGACCCGCGUGCCCUCCCUGGCCAGAGGCCUCCUUACCUCCUAUUCCACAGGACACCUGGAUGAUGGGUGCCUCCUAGAAGAGAGGCCGAGUCCAGCAUCUGUCCUGCCCAGGCUGGGCAGCAGCCUUUCCGUGUGUCUUCACGGCAUCCUAUGCACUUGGUUGAGCCCCCACCGCCCAGGCU
ensembl:lncRNA